rnacentral:rRNA from 1 species
UACGUAGGAGGCAAGCGUUAUCCGGAUUUAUUGGGCGUAAAGCGCGUGUAGGCGGCUCUUCAAGUCGGAUGUAAAAUCUCCCGGCUCAACUGGGAGGGACCAUUCGAUACUGCUGGGCUAGAGUGCAGCAGAGGGAGGUGGAAUUCCCGGUGUAGUGGUGAAAUGCGUAGAUAUCGGGAGGAACACCAGUGGCGAAGGCGGCCUCCUGGGCUGUAACUGACGCUGAGACGCGAAAGCGUGGGGAGCGAACAGGAUUAGAUACCCCCGUA